rnacentral:rRNA from 1 species
GGGGAAUCUUGCGCAAUGGGGGAAACCCUGACGCAGUGACGCCGCGUGAACGAUGAAGUCCUUCGGGAUGUAAAGUUCUGUCAGGCGGGAAGAACCUCCCCCCGAUGUAAAUCGGGGGGAAAUGACGGUACCGCCAGAGGAAGCACCGGCUAAUUUCCGUGCCAGCAGCCGCGGUAACACGGAGGGUGCAAGCGUUGUUCGGAAUUACUAGGCGUAAAGCGCGUGUAGGUGGUUAGUUAAGUCGGAUGUGAAAAUUCCAAGCUUAACUUGGAACCGGCAUUCGAAACUGGUUAACUUGAGUGUAGGAGAGGAGAGCGGAAUUCCUAGUGUAGCGGUGAAAUGCGUAGAUAUUAGGAAGAACACCGGUGGCGAAGGCGGCUCUCUGGCCUAAAACUGACACUGAGACGCGAAAGCGUGGGUAGCAAACAG